rnacentral:rRNA from 1 species
GAUGAACGCUGGCGGCGUGCCUAAUACAUGCCAGUCGAGCGAACAGACGAGAAGCUUGCUCCUCUGACGUUAGCGGCGGACGGGUGAGUAACACGUGGAUAACCUACCUAUAAGACUGGGAUAACUUCGGGAAACCGGAGCUAAUACCGGAUAACAUGUUGAACCGCAUGGUUCAACAGUGAAAGACGGUUUUGCUGUCACUUAUAGAUGGAUCCGCGCCGCAUUAGCUAGUUGGUAAGGUAACGGCUUACCAAGGCAACGAUGCGUAGCCGACCUGAGAGGGUGAUCGGCCACACUGGAACUGAGAUACGGUCCAGACUCCUACGGGAGGCAGCAGUAGGGAAUCUUCCGCAAUGGGCGAAAGCCUGACGGAGCAACGCCGCGUGAGUGAAGAAGGUCUUCGGAUCGUAAAACUCUGUUAUUAGGGAAGAACAAAUGUGUAAGUAACUAUGCACGUCUUGACGGUACCUAAUCAGAAAGCCACGGCUAACUACGUG